rnacentral:misc_RNA from 1 species
GUGAAUCAUCGAAUUUUUGAACGCAUCUUGCACUCUCUGGUAUUCCGGAGAGUAUGCCUGUUUGAGGGUCAUUAAAUAGACUCUUUAACCAAUUUUUUUUUGGUUCAAGGGAAUGAGUUCUUCGCGUUUAUAGCGGUCGCUUGAAAUAAGUGGUAGUCUCAUUUUAGUCGAGACGCGUAAUAAUUUUAUUUCACGAAAUCUUUAUUAUGUGACACUCAGGUUAUGGUUCUUA